GAAAGAAUUCCUGAACAAACCCCACGUGGUAAGCAUCCUCCAAAACCAGAGAAAUUAGAAGAUAUAAUCUGCCGAAUGAUGGCUAAUCGGGAAUGGACAACCCGAUUACAGUGAUCGAUCAGAGAACU